UAUGAUUUAUCAUGCAUUCGCGUUUGGAAAAUUAGAUUUGCACGUUUCAGAGUCUGCCUCGUGUCUGCUUACGAUUUAUUCGAGGUAUUGAACACGACAUGAAUUUAAUUAAUAUUGAAUGUAGUUUUUUUGUUAAUUCUGUUUAUUCUUCUAUACCGUGGUUAGCUUACUUUUCAUUCGAGCUUCCAACUAUUAAUUAGAAUAACACGUUUCAAGGUAGCUCUACGUCGAUUUAGAGCGAGCACAUGCCUACCAGAAGCGUCGUUCGAAUUGGUUACACGCGCUCCAUCGUUGGGCCGAGCAUUCGCUCGCCACUUUCAUGGAACCUCCACAAUUUACGGUCUAUCUCGCGAGAAAACGUAUAAAGAUACAACGUCGCAUUGUGACCGCAUAACGCGGUCCCCCUGGCACGGGUUCCUCUUUCAGCUCGUGGCGCACGCGCUCGGCAACCUCGUGGCUGCACUCGACGCACUUAGUCUACGUCGUUAGCUGCGCCAUUAGCUUGCAUCCAAGCCUUCCCGUUCGUAGUAGUGGGCUGUACGUGAACGUGGACUAUUGCACACAACCGAACGUGCUUUGCGAGCCACCCGAGCGGUGGCGUGUCACGUGACACGGUCUCGCGGGUAUAUAAAGGCGGCGGACGGCUAGUAGAAUCAGCCAUUCGCGCACUGGCUCCGAAGUAAGCGCCACGACGCGCCUUCGACUCCCACCGGAGACAACGAUACAGGCUCGGUGGUAACUGACCUCGUGGCAGCGGCCAGGAAACCAUUCAGGAAAUGGCUCGAAAAAAAAAAGAAAAGAGGGAAAUCCCUCAGGCGCCACUUGGCCGAGUGAGAAAAGUGAGAACGGAGCUCUCGGGGCACGUGAACAUGGCUAGCGUACUCGAGAUAAGGCUCGCGUGCGAAUCGAUUACGGUCGGUCAUCGGUUUCGAUGACUGGCAAAGAGAAAUGACGUAGCCCAACCCACCGACUGCAUCGUCAUAGAUAAACGGGCGGCACGCACGCGCAGAACGUUGCCCCCGCAGGAACGAAGAGUUUCGAGGGGGCCACGCGUGCCCGAAGACGCGCAUGCCGCUAGGAUCAUUCAAGAAGCGAUUCGGGUUAACCCGCACGCGACGAAUGUUUCGGGGGAAUCUGGACAAGGCGCUCGCAGGCUGCUGGAAUAGCAAGGAAUGGUGGUAUUAUAAAGAGAUGGAGAGAUUGCGAGUGCUUGAACUCGAUGAUUUCAGAAGUUACUCGACCGAUUCGGAUGGGACUUUCAUUCCUGGGUUCCUUGGAAAUCUCAGUGUUGUAGGACUAGUUUUGUCACGGUAUCUCCAUUUGGGGACACAACCGUGAACGGAACUGUUGACGAGCCGUAGAAAGGAUACACCCUGUCUAAUUGGAACUGUAUUUACUUGCAAAUAAUUGAUUUCUCUCUAUCCGACACUUUGUCCGUUAAUUUAUUAGAGACUGCAAGGACAUUGGAACGGUUAAAAACGGAUUCAAAGCAUUUAACUUAACAAGCAUUCGUGUAAUACAACUCACAGGCCCAGAUUGUUCUCCAUUCUCUAAAACUAUAUUAGAUCAGGCCUGGUUGUCACGCUCUCUCCUAAACACGUGAGUCUCUCUUCUAGCUCAACCGCACACGCUGACUAAUCUGUUACAGAUAUGUCGAAAUUACUCGCUCCGCUCAACAAGUAAAUUCCGCCUUUACGCUGGCACGAAUUGUCAAGAAAAAACCUCCUCGAACCAGGUGAAAAACAUGUCUCGCGGCCCAAGGAGACCCAGAGGGGUGGAAUGAGGUUUACGUGUCCCGAGUGACAAAGCAGCGAGGCCGGCCAUCUAUAGUAAUUUAGUAUAAAUGUAUGCUGAUUGCAGAUCACUUAUCCAGGACAACGCUAGUUGGGUUGGGUUGGCAGUUUUUGGUGGGAGGAAUAUGACCGAGACCGAAGAACACAAAAUAAUGUUUCUACUAUUCCUCGGCUGACUAACAGAGCCACUCAUUUGUUUGGGGGUUUCAACUGCUCCAGACGAAGAGGUUUAACGACUCAAAUGACUAGGUAUACAUGUUGAGACACAUGAAACACGCGAGACUUGAAAGUACCAUGUUCGGAGACCAAUGAACACAAAAUAAUUUUUCUAAUAUUUUCUUGACGACUAACAAAGCCACUCAUUUGUUUGGGGGUUUCAACUGCUCCAGAUGAAAAGAUUCAUCCACUAAAGGUGAGCAAAGGCAACCAAGAACCUGGCCAUCCAACAGACCACCUAACCAAUCGCCUACAGGAUGGGCAAUGGGUUUAGACUGGUUUCGGGGUUCUUCGUAAUUAGAACGAGACCCGGCAGCCUGUCGAGGAUUAUAUAGAACGACCUGGUCGGAUACUUCGGAGGCGGAAAGAUCCACCACGAUCGAGAUCUGACUUUAUGCGCAUACAUUUGUCGCGUCUGGUGGCACACGGGCGAGUCCCUCCGGAAUUCGUGACGAAAGACGACACACGAACGCGACGCGUGUGGUAGCCACAGCCGUGCAUCAUCGGUUCCAAGGCUCCCCGGAGCACUGCCACUCGAGGAUUUCAACUUCUUUUUGCCGUCGUUCAAGGCGAACCCGUGUGGAAAAAACCUCCCGCGUGCAACGACGUAGACGCGAGCCACAGGACGGAAAAUGUACUGACCCAUUGACUCAUGGGGGAUUUCCGGCGUUAGCGUGCAAUUGCUACGUGCUUGGUAGCCGCAACGCUCGUACGUCAUCGUUCCCGCGACGUCCUUAGAUGUUGCCUUCCAUUUGGUGAUCCGUGAAUGGAACUCUAAACAAUUCGCAGCAGGCACGACGUUUAGUCAUCGUGAUCAGGUCUGGGUUAAGGCGCCGAGCUCCGAGGGCAAUAGGAAGCUGCAGAAAUAUGGAGAGCUGGGGGAGGAAAAUAGUAUGCAAGGUUACUUCGUUUACGAAUGCUGGAUCGAAGUACUCCGAAUUGUUUGAUGCGUUGACUGUCACAGGUGACAGGACUUAUGGAGCUAAGACAGUGGUCAGGGUGAAAUGUUGAAGACGAUAUGUUUCGAUGGGGUUUAUUGAACCAUAAACGAUCUAACAUAUCGACUGCCAUGUCAUGGACAUAUACAGUCGGUUGUAUAAAUAUUCGUACCCUCUAUGUCUAUCGAAGAAAUUUGUUUAAAUUAAAUGGUAGGUUUGACGAUGUACAUAUAUUUGUAUAAAUAUGUUGAUGUUUAUAUAAAUAUAUUCGCACAGGAACCAAUUCAAAAUAAAACUUGAUAUAUUU